CUUAGAGAAGAAAAUGUCACAAGACCGUCAACUUCUGAUCCUGCUGUUUAUAUUGGCACAGAUGUGUGUAGGGACACCAUCACCAGCUUAAUUUUUUGUUUUUGGUGACCUUGUGGGGGGGUCUUCAGUUUCCUCCAGUUGAUAAGCAAGAAAAGAGGAUGAGGAUGAUUAAGGAAGCAGUUUUCUACCCAACCUUCUAAAUGUCCACAUUUCUGUUCAUUUUCCUUUGGCCAGAACUCGGUCGCAGAACCGCAAACCAACUGCAAGAAUGGCUAGAAACUAAAAACUUCUGCAUCUGAGGAUGGGAAAGAGUCUGGAGGGCUUAGUCUGCCACCUGACGUAUUGAUACGCAAUUAAAGAAGAUUUCUUUGUAUCAGACAGGGUUAUAGAGGAUACUUGGUACAAGAUUGUUAUGUGGGCAUCAGAUCAAGGCUAAAGCUUACUCUAUAUUUGAGUCUGCAUUAACCGGACAGCAGUGGAAACCUCUUUGGGCAGAAUGGCACCAGGUCUACAGUGCAGGAAGAACCAGCUUCUAUUUCCUUAGGUCAGAUGCUAAGGGAGUGAUAAUACUUUUAUGAUUGUUUGAUAUUUCCACGACAACAGAGUCUUUCCUGAUAAAUCCCUGGGGUCAUAAAACAGCCAUUUCUUUGCCUAAGCUGCUGUAAGUUGAUAUAAUUCCCCUUGACAUGUUUUAGUUUUCCCACUUAAGGUUAGAUCAACAAUAUAGCUCUUGUUAUGUCCUUACUCUCAGACUCGUUGAGUGUCUAUUAUGAAAACACAGUCCCAGUGGUUUGGGACUUUAGCUUUAAAUAAUAUGGUGGCUUUUACAGAACAAGAAAGCAUCAGUUCAUGAGAAAUUCAUUGGAGAGCAAUAAUUUGUAUGUUCAAUAAAAUGUCCUAAAAUAAUAGCCCACAAUAACACCAGUCUGUUUCCCUUUUGUGUAAUCAACUCCAGGAAAGGGUGGACUAUGUGUGGAUCAAUGCUGAGGGGAAGCUCUCCAGUCUGACUAUCUACGGUUUGGGAUGCCAAGAGAACUGAAGCCUUCGUGCUUUGGUACUAUUGUGGUCUACACAAGGCGGCCAGUGACUCUGACUUCACAAUUUGCUCUAUUAUUUUCCAGCUCAGGUGAUGGUUAAAGCCCAUAAUGGUGGGCCAAAGGCACAGAGGCAGGAACAACUGAAGAGAGCCACUUCUUGAUCUGGGUGCUCUCUUUGGUCAGAGUUACCACUCUGAAGAAUGGGGACUUGUCUGAGACUACUACUCUGUCAGAAGGCCUCAACUCUGGAUGUUUUGAUAUUUGACAGUCGUUUUGGGCCUCAAGCCAUGUCUGGAACCCUGAGGAGACUGAUGGCUGCCCAACAAGGCUUCCUUGCAGAGCUACCUUCUGCUGAAGGCAUUUCAAAAGCGAUUGUCUAAGAAUCCAGCUACAUGGAAAAUGAACUCUUUGGAAGACAUAGUGGCCCCAGAGGGCAGCCAACACCCUGAGAUGUGCUGUGGAGGCAGAUUCGGUGCGGUGUCAUGUUGGAGCGUGUGCACUCCUAACUUAAACUCCAGUUCUCAGUUCCCCUCCCACUGGGAGGUACUGAGGACCUGGGUCUUCCCUUACCUAAAGUAGAGAUAAUCCUAAUAGCUCGAAGGGCUGUCUCCAGUACCACCUGCGACGAUGAAGGCCAUGUGCUUAGCCUAGUGCCUGGAUUACGUGAAGUGCUCAGUGGAUGCUGCCUGCGACUGAGAGGCGGAGGCCUCACGAUGCAAAGAAACUCAGAGAUCGUCUGGCCACCUCCACCACUGAGCGCACGCCAUUCUGCAGCUGUCCACAGCCACCCAACCAGUGGGUGACAGCUGCCUCUGACAGGAAGCAGGCUUCCAUAGUCCACACUUAGCGUGCUAUCUCCCCAGGCCUCACUUCUCCCGUUGACUUCUCCUGUUCUCACCCUGUUGACGGUAGUGGGUGGCAAUACGGCAGUGGGCGAUGAUGUGCUACUUAACAUAACACAGCCGCUCAUUCAAUAAAC
ensembl:lncRNA